ACUUUAUAAAUUUGGUCAUUUAGUGUUGAUGUUUACAUAACAAAUCGAAGUUGAAGUCACGUAUUUAGAAUAAUUUAGAGCUAAAACCACUGAGUGAGUGGCACAGUCAGUGUGAUCUUCAACUGUUCAACUGACAACUUCAUUCAAGAAUUCUAGAGUCUAUACCAUAUUAUUUCUAGACUAGUCCAAUUCUUAAUUUAGAAAAUAUGGUCUGAUUAAUAAUCAAUGCUUGCAACUAUGUGGCGGAACGGAUCCAGCGAUGCAUGAAAAGUGAUGCAGAGCAGGGCCCUGUGACCCCUAUUAGUGAGCGAGCUUGUGCAAUGCAGAAAACUAAGAAACACCACCACCAUAAUGACAAAUAUCAAGAAGAUCUGACAGUGUCAGGUCAACAUAAUGGAUCUCCAGGAAAGUCUCAAGGGCAUGUAAAAAAAAAUGGCUUUGAUGUAGACUAGAAGAGUAUCCAAUGCCAUACAUAUGGGGAUCACAUUUUGUUUUAAAUUAGUGCUAAAUAAUAAAGUGAGCUAAAUGUCUAUCAUCCAGAUAUAAAUUAUAUUCCUGAUAAUCACUACUAAAUUCUCCAACAUCUAAGAAAUGACUGUAGCUUAUAACUAUAAGUAUUCAUUGUAGGACACUUGGUGGAACUUUCUUGCUUUAAAUUUUCAUUACUAUCAAAGUUGAAAAUACUGUUAAUUUUGACUAAAAAUAAAAAUGUAUACUUUAAGUAGUUGUCAAAGAAUUCUUCCUGUGUCCACUGUUAUGAAGUUUGUAUUUGAAAAGGUAUCGUUUGAUACCUGAGGUAUAAACGGAUGAGCAAAGAUAUGCAAGUUUGAACAUGAAGAAUUUGUUGAUACACUUUUGGAUACAUGACAGUUCUGUUUGUGUUGCCCGAUGUUAUAAAGGAGUUCCACUUGGUCAACCUCUUUACAGUUGAAUUUUUAAAAACUUUCUUUUUAAGUUAAUUAUCAAAACAACGAGAGACUUUUUUCCUUACAGAACUUUUGUGUAAUAGUUGAAAAUCAAAAUUAUUUAUUCUAAAAUAAACUUGAUGAAAUAUAAAAAUGAUUUUUUUUAGUCUUUUUUUAUAUAUACUGGGAUAUUUCAAGUUAUGUUAUCUAAACAGUCAUAGGGUGGGAGUAACAUCUUAGAAACCAUGAAUUGAUUACAGUUUAUAUUAAAAUCUUUCAUAAUUGUGUGAUAUAUAUAUAUAUAUAUAUAAAUCACUAACAUAUUGUGAUACCUAAAAACUAAUAUCUUUUAAUCAUUUUUGUUUAACGGUAAAAUCUAAAACAGUUUCUUUUCUCUUUAAAGGGUAAUUUGAAACUUACUCCCUUGUAUUUUUUUCCAGUAAAUGCUUUCUGUUUUAUCAAGUGGUGAAAAAAGCAUCGUAUAAAUAGUUGUUAUGAGUCCAGGGGAAAAUUGCCAAAAUUAAAUAAAAUGUCUUCUAGUCUUAAAUAUGUGUUAUUUCUUAGCCCAGUAAAUUUAAAAUAUUUCAUAAGUGUUUGUAAAUCUGAAAAUUUUUAGCACUGCACAAGUUAUUGCAUAAUACAAAGGUUUCAUAAAAAAUUUCAUCCCUGUUUAUUCUCUUAAACAUAUAAUUACAUAUUUUAUAUUAAUAUAAAGCAGAAAUGUAGCUAAUAGAUUUU